GGAAACGGCGCCCUUCGCGCGUGCGCCAAAAUCCCGGAAGUGAACCCCGCCAGCUGCGCGCGCAAGCAAGGCAGCUGAAGGAGAGGGUUUUUUCUCGCAACUGCGCCAGGCGGCGGUGAAUAGAGUGAGUGCUUGGGGCUGGCAUUAUAUUGUUUUUAUUAACUUGUCAGGGCUUAGAGAGGGAUCGCAUUUUUAUUUUAUUUUUACAGAUAGUGGUAAGAGACUGGCUUGCGGGGGGGUUGGACUAGAUGACCUUUGGGGACCCCUUCGAACUCUAUGGACGAAAACCAACUUGGUAGAGCUGAUGAGAUGCUGUUAGCUGGGGCUAAACAGGUGGAGGUGCAGCCGGGGCCACUCUUUCCCUGAGGGACAGGGUUAGCUCCUGGCCUGUAUAAUGCAGGAUUGCCCACAUAUUUCGGGGUCAGAUCCUACGUCCUGUAUUGAUACCGCUUUGUCCUGUCUUUCAGGUUGUCUCCCUCUCUGCCAAGUUAGGGGAUUGUCUCCAAAUGCGUGUGUUUGGAAAGCUGUGUGAAAGGUUGCGGAUUUAAGCUCUGGGUGGCAGAUUGACAAAUUCCAAUGUGUGCACGUGUGCGCGCACGCGCGCGACACACACUCCAGAGGGGUCAUCCCGUUAUUAGGCUGAAACGGGUUGCUUUAUUGCAUGGGUAGGCAAACUAAGGCCUGCUGGGUGGAUUUUUAAUCUAAUCCAGCAGUUUUUCCCUCCAGGAUGGUCCCGUCCCCCAAAGCAGGUUGUGAACCCUUUGGCCAGGGAAUCUACCAGUUCACUUAAUAUUCAGCAGAUGCUAAAUGCAUUUUGUUAGAGUAGUCAGGGUGGUAGCUACACUUGCUCCCCACACAUUAUACUUUGCAUAUCUUUCAGAGGUUACAGCAUGGGUAGGCAAACUAAGGCCCGGGGGCCAGAUCCGGCCCAAUCACCUUCUAAAUCCGGCCCGCGGACAGUCCGGGAAUCAGCAUGUUUUUACAUGAGUAGAAUGUGUCCAUUUAUUUAAAAUGCAUCUCUGGGUUAUUUCUGGGGCAAAGGAAUUUGUUCAUUUCCCCCCCUUUCAAAAUACAGUACGGCCCACCACAAGGUCUGGGGGAUGGUGGACCGGCCCCCUGCUGAAAAAGUUUGCUGACCCCUGAGUUUAUUGUCAUUUAUUACUUAUUUAUUGGAUUUAAUAUAUGCCUGGGGGUCUCAGGGUGGUUCGCAGAAAAGAUCAGCACUGAAGUCACUUCAGCACCAGAGGCGGGGGAGAAAAGUCAUCCACCCACCCCUACAUUUUGCCAGAACCAAGGUGUCCACCCGAGUGAGGGAGCACUGCAGGCUGCGUAUGGCCAUGGCUCCUGCAUUCCUUCCUGUCCCCCGUGGCAACAGAGUCCCCCUAUGAUGGGCUGGAUUAUGACUGGGCCAGGCAAGUCUGAACGCAGACCAAUUCUGUCUCACUGCAGAGACUGCCAGUUUGCUUCCAAGCCUAAUUCAGACUUCUGGGUUUAAACUAAUGGGAUGCCCAUGCCCUCUGAGGACAUGCCCUCUGAGGAUGGCAACGAGAAAAUGGCUGUUUUCAGUUGGGCCCCUCCUCCGUUUGCUUCUCGUCAGGAAAGCUUAGGAGGCAUCAACCUUUCUUCAUAUUUUUGGUGCCGGCCCAAGACAUUUUUAUUCUCCCAGGUGUUUUUGUGGGCAUUGAUAUUGUGGAUUCUGUUCUUGUUUUGGUUGUAUAAGGGCAUCCAGUCUCGGGGGUGGGGGGUGGAAGGGUACUUCCCCCCACAUCUGCAGUAGUAAUUCAGAAACAUUUUUAAUCUUAGUUUUAAAAUACGUAUUUCUUAUUAAUUGUAUUAGUAUGUCUGUUCUAAGUUGCUUGGGUUUUUUGUUUUUUUGCGUUGUAGAGUAAUAUAAUAACAAAGUAAAUAAUAACAAAUGUUAUGCUAUGCAAUAACCACCCCCAAAAAUCCAGGGUAUAGUGGGUUAGAGCAGGCAUAGGCAAACUCGGUCCUCCAUAUGUUUUUGGGACUACAACUCCCAUGAUCCCUAGCUAACAGGACCUGUGGUCAGGGAUGAUGGGAAUUGUAGUCCCAAAACAUCUGGAGGGCCGAGUUUGCCUAUGCCUGGGUUAGAGUAUUUGGCCUAGAUUGGGGAGACCCAGAUUAAAAUUCCUGUUUAGCCAUAAAGCUCACUUGACCUUGAGCCAAUCUCUCUCCCUCUCUGGGUCUGCUUAAGACUUAAGUCUUUAACAAGCCUAAACAAUAUUAUACCUGGAAAUGUUUGCUCAUCUAGAAAUUCAGUAAAAUGUUAACCAGUAAAAUGGACCCCUACUGUCAAUAGACAGCAGAUAUGCAUGCUGGUGAAAUCCCCUCUGUGCAUCAUAAUCCCCUUUUGAGUACAGGCAAUUCCCCAUUUACGCGAGGGUUAAUGUUCCCAGGCGGUGUGUGGGUGUGUAAGUGAAAUUGCAGAUAUAGGGAAUACCAUUGAAACACCCUCUAAACUCUGGAAACCAUUGAAAACCCCUUUUUAAAAAAACCAGCAGCAGCAUUUAUCAGACUCCGUCCAAACCUCUUUGCUCAAAUUCCCACAGGUCUCAAAGGUCAGUACAAAGGCUCCUGGGAUUGCACUUGCAAAAGCUUGUAGGAUCGCUAGAUGCCAUUUUCACCUUUUUCGGGGGGCCAUUCUUGCCUCUUUAAGUGCCACUUUUGGGUUCACAGCAAUGUGCGAGUGUGCAGUCACAUGUGACUCAAAUGCACGUAAACGGUGAGUUGCCUGUAGUCUCUUGUGCCUCCACCUAGUCCCCAAAUCUUUACACAAUUAUCCAUUUCGUUCCUAGUCCCAGCAGCUAUCUCCUUCAAGUCUUUUGAGAAUAUACGUACCUGGCAUUAGGUUCUUCCUGAGCCUCUUCUUACCAAGCACACAGAAGUAAACCAUACAUGCCUAGUAUGAAUUAUAUGUCAACUGAAAAAACCCAAGGAGGGAAAUAGGAGCUCGGAUAUAUAUUCUCCCCAUCACCACCACCACUGUUUCCCCCAAAACAAUUUCACUCUUUAGAUACUGAAAAGCCUUGAUUACAUUGCUAAAGAGGAUGCAGGUGGCACUGUAAGUCUAAACCACAGAGCCUAGGGCUUGCCAAUCAGAAGGUCGGCGGUUCAAAUCCCCGUGAUGGGGUGAGCUCCCGUUGUUCAAUCCCAGGUCCUGCCCACCUAGCAGUUCAAAAGCACGUCAAAGUGCAAGUAGAUAAAUAGGUACCGCUCCGGCGGGAAGGUAAGUGGCGUUUCCGUGCGCUGCUUUGGUUUCGCCAGAAGCGGCUUAGUCAUGCUGGUCACAUGACCCGGAAGCGGUCUGCGGACAAACGCCAGCUCCCUCGGCCUAUAGAAUGAGAUGAGCGCGCAACCCCAGUCAUCCGCGACUGGACCUAAAGGUCGGGGUACCUUUACCAUUGCUAAAAUGUGCUUUUCUGUUCAAUUCCUUCCUUUGAUCGUACCUCAGGUACAAUGGAAAUGAUCAAAUGAGUUAUUAAUAAUAAUAAUUUAUUAUUUGUACCUCCACCCAUCUGGCUGAGUUUCCCCAGCCACUCUGGGCGGCUUCCAACAAAGAUUAAAAAUACAUUAAAAUGUCACACAUUAAAAACUUGCCUGAAUAGUAACUCCCCUUUGCUUUCUUCACAGCAAUAAUGGCUUCUGCAAAGCAGCUGGCUGACUUCGGCUAUAAAGCAUUCUCUGGGUCCAUGAUGCUCCUUACCUUGUAUGGUGGCUACCUCUGUAGUGUCAGAGUAUAUCGCUAUUUCCAGAGGAGGAAUUUGCUGAAGCAGCUUGAGCAGCAGGAAAUAAAUGCAGCAGUUAAGGACUGAACACUGUCCUGUUGUCUGACAUAGGAUGCUUAAUGAAUACAAGACUGGUGUGCUGCAAUAAAAACUCAUUUCAGAAAAUGCAGCCCUGGAAUCUGCCAUGAAGAAUCACUAAUUCAGGGUGUGAUGCAUAAAAGGAUGGAAACACCUAUGCAAUUCAGCAGUAAUUGAAUGUUUCAUAUGUGUCUUGCUUUUGUAAAUAUACACUGCUAGCAGCAUCUCACUAUAAAAGAUGUGGUCACAGAAUUGUUUCCCUCUUUAUUUUUACAUCCUCCUGUCCAUUUAAAGAAGGAAAACAAUAUGAGGAUAAACAGAGUUUGCCACAGGAUUCCUCUGGCUGAGCCUACAAGUUUGCAAAUGAUUUGCGGGUGGGUGUUGUGGUACUUCAUCUGUUUCCAUUUACUAAUUUCCUACUCAAGUUUUAAAGCAAAGGUGCAUCUCACUGUCUUUACAUCUGGGUCAACAAGUGUUUCCAUGUGGGAAUAAAUCAUGUUGCCUUGACAUACAUAUUCUGAUUAAGACAUGUGAAAAUAGAAAAUCUGACACAAUUGCGGAUGUGAGGAUUGCCGAAUAGAAACCUUGCUAAAAGCAAAAUAAUCUUGAAUGUGAUGUUGCAUUCUCUGAUCUUACUUCAGCAAAUGAGAGGUUGGCCCUUCUGUUAUUGCAAAUCCAAUUAUACCAUCUGCUGUGCAACUGUCUGGCCACUGUCUUUUCAUUUCUAAAUAAUAAUAAACAAAAGCAAGAAAGAGUUCACGAAGAACAAAUUAGGCAAGAAAUAAAAAUUCUCAUUACCACAGGCUAGAUUAGGAUGGCUUCAUUCCACCUGCUGUAAAGUAACAUUGUAUCAAGGUAUGGUGAAAUGGUGUGUCAGACAGCAUGGCUCCAGGGUAGCUAUAGUUUAGCAGACACUACUAAUUACAAAGCUUAUAGAGCUGAGGGAGGAAUAUGUCGGCGCCUCCGUACAACCGAGCUGUGAAGGCUACUCCUCCGGCGGUGAUUAACGACCUAAGCCUUUGAAUGAGACUUCAGGCACGCUCCCCAUUAUGCAGAGUACCCAGACAGCAGCAGCAGAGCCGGAAAUAUGUGCUACAUUGCUGCUUUAUUUCUGACUACGCAGGACAGAAAAGAAUAUGCAUCUGCUCUCUGUGAGACAGAAAACAACAGGAACAAAGAAACAGGAAACUAGUAACUUCAACAUCCGUCUCCCGUGAGACUUCCAACAGUCUGGAAUGUCAACAGAGUCUUGUGACUCCAAGAACUGCACAGUGGCAUAACAGAAACCCAACAGAAUAGUGUUCAGAACUGUCAAGGCCAGGGUGUUCUUUUUUUUAGGCAUGUUACAUGUAGAUUGUCUGCUAGAUAGUGGUUAUCUCAUGCCUUCAGUAAGCUGUUAAUGUCUUUCUACCAGUUACUGCCAAUUCCCCUUUGUGAAACAAUGAUUUAGGCCGAAAUAGUUUAGAAAUGCUCCUUCAUCCUUUGCUGUUACCCUUCCCAAUAAAAAGUCAUAUAAAUGGCUAGAAGCUUCUCAUUUAGGAAGUCAACAUGAUGACAGCAAAGGCUAACCUUUCACCAAUAGGGUUUCUGUACCUUGAGAGUUUCGUACAAGAAAAAAAGCAGAAACUUCCAUUAUUCCUAAUCCCUUUUCCUUUUGUGUUGUAUCCUUUAGAUAGAAUAGAAAGCCUGAGAAUAGAAACUGAUUUAUCACUGAUAGCAGUAAACUGCUCUGGGAGCCUUUUUUUUUGGCUGAAAAGUGGAAUAUUUAAAGUAUAAAAAUACUUUCAAUAAAGUAUAAAAAUAUUUUAAAUAGCAUAUAAAAAUACUUUCAAUAAAAUAAUAGAUGCUACAGAGGAGGUAAGAAUUAGGAUGUGUGGCAGCCAAAAACUUACUGUAACAACUAGCUUGGCCCCAAAGGCUGUGAAACUUAGUAACUAUCUAUUAACUACUGCUCUGUAAAACUCCCAAUUCCUAUACACGUUAGCUCAAACCAGAAAAAAGGAAGCUUCCUACUUAAACUGGCAAUAAAACUUUUAGAAGACACCUGAAGGCAGCCUUGUUUAGGGAAGUUUUUAAUGUUUGAUGUUUUAUUGUGUUUUUACUUUUCUGCUGGGAGCCGCUCAGAGUAGCUGGGGAAACCCAGCCGGUGGAUGGGUGGGUGGGAUACACACACAGAGAGAGUAAUAUUCUGUGUGGUGCUGGGGCAAAAUGGGCUGUUCACAGUGUGGGGCAGGGAGGUUAUGGAACUACAGCGUCCUAAGUCCCCUCCUUAUCCCAUAAACUAUGCCAGACCUGGUUAUCUACAUAGUUUUAAUAUCCCCAUUGAAGUCAAUGGGAGGGAAAUGGGGCGCGGGGGGGGGGGAAUAAUCAUGGCAAGGAAAGGUUGCACCCUUACUUCCUGCUUGUGACAACAAGUCAC